CUUCAACGAGCCGAGCUGAACGGGCUUUUCGCGGUCCUGGCCGUAGGUGGCGAGCAGGGCCUGCGCCUC
rnacentral:antisense_RNA from 1 species